rnacentral:rRNA from 1 species
AUGGCCGCCGCUACCACCGUUUGCUCUUCCCCGCCCCCUUGUCAUCCUUCAGUGCCGCCUCUAGGUCACCAUCGCCGUCACGACUAUGAACUCCAAGCGUGCCCGUGUGAGGCCUCCAGCACCACCCGCCGCAGUCCCCCUGAUCCUUUCCUCCCUCCCUGUCUGCCGAUGCAGACGGAGAUACAAAACAUGGGAUGGAGAUCAGAUGGUGGGCUCUCGCUCCACAUGCGCGGCGGUGGACUUUUCCGCAGUAAGGGCACAGAGAUAGUUGAAGCAAUUGAGGAACCGUCGGUGCGAAGCCGGGGCUUUUGA